GACGAACGCUGGCGGCGUGCUUAACACAUGCAAGUCGAACGGUGAAGCGCCGUCCUUGUUGGUGGGUGGGGAGGAGUGGCGGAGGGGGGAGUAACACGUUAGCAACCUGCCCCCUUCUUCUGGAUAACCGCAAGAAAGUGUGGCUAAUACGGGAUAUACUGGGUCGGUCGCAUGAAGGGUGUGGGAAGGAUUUGGUGUCGGUUGGGGAUGGGUCCGCGGCGUAUCAGCUUGUUGGUGGGGUGAUGGCCUACCAAGGCGGUGACGGGUAGCCGGCCUGAGAGGGUGGACGGUCCCGCUGGGGCUGCGCCCCCCACACGCCUCCGACGGGCGGCAGCAGUGGAUAUUCCGGCACGAUGGGCGGCCUCAUGGUGCAGCGCCGCGGCGUGGGUGAUGGAGGCCUUCGGGUUGUGAACUUCUAUCGCCAGUGAAGCAGUCCUGCCUUGUCUGUGGGUGUGUUGACGGUAGCUGGACAAGAAGCGCCGGCUAACUACGUG
rnacentral:rRNA from 1 species